UACGAAGGGGGCUAGCGUUGCUCGGAAUCACUGGGCGUAAAGCGCACGUAGGCGGAUUGUUAAGUCAGGGGUGAAAUCCUGGAGCUCAACUCCAGAACUGCCUUUGAUACUGGCGAUCUUGAGUCCGGGAGAGGUGAGUGGAACUGCGAGUGUAGAGGUGAAAUUCGUAGAUAUUCGCAAGAACACCAGUGGCGAAGGCGGCUCACUGGCCCGGUACUGACGCUGAGGAGCGAAAGCUAGGGGAGCAAACGGG
rnacentral:rRNA from 1 species